CCUGACGAGAGCCAAACCUGCCGGCCUGCUUGGUGGUGGCGUCUUCACCUGCUCGCCCCUCGGGACUUGAAUAAUCCCAUGCCAGAAACUUUCAGGUCGGUGAUCUUGUCAACACAAGAGAGAGUUUUCUACAGGAGACUGUGUAUACACCCUACGAAAAGGCUUGCAUGUCUGUGGGCAUGUGGGGAAGAUUUGUGCUGAGCUGAGCCUGAAGGCCAUGAAUUAGAGGGCGAUCCUAAAACCUAGGCUACUGAGAACAUGUAUUUCUUGUACGACAGGAGUGAAGGAGCAUCUUCUUACCAUGUUUAGCAUUUCAUCAAAAACUUCUUGAGAGAUAAAAUGAUAAUCGACGCGAUCCCCUUCUCCAAAGUAAGGCGGUCUUGUGGUGUGACAGGCCCUGGGAACAUACAACAGAUGAUGAAGCUAAGGCACAACAAUUAAGCAACGCCAGGAUGAUUCCAAAGUCGAUUCUUUUUCAUAUCACACUAAGAGCGUAACAUCGCAACCUUGAAAGUCUCCCCACUACAAAGUCAAAGAAAUGUUUAUAAUUCAUACCACUGCCCUUCUUCCAUUAUAAACAAGGAGCAACUGUACAGGUAAAUUUUGAAGUCUUAACAUUACAUCCGAAUUGCAUACUUAGGAAAGAGAAUGAGUUCUUAAGAGGAAGCUGUCAAAACACCGUGACAUUUGUUUAGUUGUUGAACACACUGGCAUAUCUUCACACACCUUGGCAGAGACCUGAGACCCUCUGUUUACUGGAGCCCCUGACAGUCAGGAAAGAUUAAGCCAUGACUUGGCAUCCCCUUAGCUAAGCCUGUACACAGUGCAAUGAAUUUGCAUUUCUCAACAAAAGAAAUGUGCGAUAGGGCUUUGCCCCCA